rnacentral:rRNA from 1 species
AGUGAACGCUGGCGGUAGGCCUAACACAUGCAAGUCGAACGGCAGCACAGUAAGAGCUUGCUCUUACGGGUGGCGAGUGGCGGACGGGUGAGGAAUACAUCGUGCUCUACUUUUUCGUGGGGGAUCACGUAGGGAAACUUACUCUAAUACCGCAUACGCCCUACGGGUGAAAGCAUGGGAUCUUCUGACCUUGCGCGGUUGAAUUCGCCGAUGUCGGAUUAGCUAGUUGGCGGGGUAAAUGCCCACCAAGUCGACGAUCCGUAGCUGGUCUGAGAGGAUGAUCAGCCACACUGGAACUGAGACACGGUCCAGACUCCUACGGGAGGCAGCAGUGGGGAAUAUUGGACAAUGGGCGCAAGCCUGAUCCAGCCAUACCGCGUGGGUGAAGAAGGCCUUCGGGUUGUAAAGACCUUUUGUUGGGAAAGAAAAGCAGCAGGUUAAUACCCAGCUGUUCUGACGGUACCCAAAGAAUAAGCACCGGCUAACUUCGUG